UCAAAGGACUUUUAUUGUGGACAUUCCUCUGCUACGUCAUUCACGGCGUGUUUGGGAGACUUUUAUUAUGUAAAUAUCAGCCGGGACUGUGAAGAAAAGCUUUGGCAAGUCAACUUACAAAUGUUAUUGGUAAAUGUGAGAGGCGCUGCGUGAUUUUUCCUCCUUCAAUAAAACUGUGAUGUGACCGAAGUAACUGUAACUGCCCAGAACUGACGUUCGCCGUCAACAUUAAGGGCUCAGAAUCAGUUUACAGGAGAACCUCCAUGCACAUGCAUAACAAUGGACUCUAAUGGAGCCGCGUAGAGAUGAAGUCUGUCUUUUACGCAGUGAAAUCCGAGCAAAGACCAGGUAAGCGAAAAACAUUUUGCUUUUCAGGCAUAUUAUCUUACAACAAGAAAUGCAGCGUGGCACACUGGAAGCAGCCAGAAAACCACUGCUGGAGUGUUUUUGCAGAUGGACUGAUUGUUAUUCACUGUCUUCAGAAUCAGAUAAAUGAACUCCAG
rnacentral:lncRNA from 1 species